rnacentral:lncRNA from 1 species
AUCAACAAGAAAGGAAGGAAGGAAGGAGAAAAGGAAGGAAGGAAGGAAGAAAGGAAAGAGGAAAGUGAGAAAACAGAAAAAAGCAAAGAAGGAAUAGAGAAACAUAGAAAAAGAAAAAUUCAAGAGGAAAGAAAAAAGAAAGAGGGAGAGAAAGAAAGAGAAGACUAAAGGAACUGAUUGUAAGAACAAGAUACAACUGCCCCAAAGAACAUCUACUGUUCUAUCCUGUAAAUUGUGACAAGACUCAAUGGGCUAAUACUUUCCAAAUGAUGCAUCAAAAUGAUGCAUCUUUAGCUGAAGCAGAAUGAAAACAGCUUGGAAAGCAGAAUUAUCCAAGUCAGGCUACCCUUUGAAAUAGGUCACACUAUGGAGGGUUUUCAUGAUUAACUAUAAAAUGUCUCCCUAACAUAGAUAGUACCAACACAGAAGUGCUCCUCAAGGUAGGGUGGAGACUUUAAUUGGC